rnacentral:rRNA from 1 species
AUUGAACGCUGGCGGCAGGCUUAACACAUGCAAGUCGAACGAGUGGCGGAGGGGAGAAUAAUGCUUGGGAAUCUAGCUUAUGGAGGGGGAUAACUACGGGAAACUGUAGCUAAUACCGCGUAGCAUAGGAUGAGCGCAAGUGGGAUUAGGUAGUUGGUGAGGUAAAGGCUCACCAAGCCGACGAUCGCUAGCUGGUGUGCGAGGAGGACCAGCCACACCGGGACUGAGACGCGGGCCAGACUCCUACGGGAGGCAGCAGUGGGGAAUAUUGCGCAAUGGGGGCAACCUGACGCAGCCAUGCCGCGUGAAUGAAGAAGGCGUUCGGGUUGUAAAGUUCUUUCGGUAGCGACGCGUUAACUACAGAAGAAGCACCGGCUAACUCCGUGCCAGCAGCCGCGGUAAUAC